GUGAAUUAAACUGGUCAGACUUCAAAAAAAAACAUAAAAUUUCAUAUAAAAAGCUGAUUUCUUUUUUUUUUUUCUUGUUUUUUUUUUCCUCACUUGGGAAACUGAAAGUUCCAUAGUGGACUUGGACGUGACAAAAUGACAGCUUUAGAGGAGGGAUGUGCUUGUUGCUCCGCCCAGUCCCCACCACCUGGCUCUCUUCACUUGUUAUUUUCUGGCCUGACCUUGGAAACAUGUGAUUCAUGAUAUAAGGAAAGCCUUCUCCUCAAGCUAAUUAUGACUUACAGCAAUUUGGUAAAUUAUACCUUUGUAAGCAGAAUUGAAACAUUUAUCUUGCCUCUCUAUCGAAUCCCUCCAGAGAUUGGAAACAUGUAGGUUCCCAGUAGCUUUAUCAGAUAAAUUAGGAGGGACACCUCCUAACAGGUGCAGGAAUAUCAAGGUAUUUGGGGGACCGUGAAAGAUGAAAGAGGAGGAAUUCACCUAAAUCUGUAAGACAAUGUCUGUGACAAGCCGUUGGCGUGACUUUCCUAGCCCUGAGAGGCCUUUUAAAAGUUCAAUCUGAGACUCCUUAUAAAAGUUCUAGCAAAGCCAUUUCUUUAAAAAAAGAAAAGCCUAUAUGAUCAAUUAUAUUUAUAUAAAUCAUCAGGCCAAGUUUAUUGAGACUAGGGUUUACAAAUUGGUCUUAAUUUGGCUAUAUUUGGUAGAAAUAAGGGUAAUUUUAGAAAAAGUUAUGUUUCAGUGAAUAUUAAAUUCUAGUUUUGUUGAGGUCUGCAUUUACUGCCUAAGACUGACUCCUCAGAUAGUUCCUUGCUGUUAUAUUACAUUUAACUGAGUCAUUAAUAGGACACUCUUAAGUCUGUUUCUGAAGCUUAUCUCAUCUAUCUUUGGAUGAAGAUCAGAUGUCCCAAGACCUGUAACCAGGUCAUUAUGUGUACUGGAAAAAGACAUCUUUUAAAGGACCAUCUCCAACCUAGAUGGAAAGACCCUUAUCAGGUACUCUGCACUAGCUCAUGCACAGCAAAACUGAAGGGAAUUGACUCUUGGAUUAAUAUUUUCACAUAGAAAGCGCCCCUGCACCAGACUGCUCUAUAGAGAGGGCUGCUGAUGUCAAAAUCACCUUAAAACAACGGUCAAACAGAGGAGAAACUACACUCAUACCAGGAUGAGAAGACAACAUUGGAAGUAGACAGCUGACCUAAGAUGCUGCACCUGACCCGCUGCAAGACUCUUCACUUGAGGCUUUCAACCAUAUUCUCCUCUUGUCAAACAACUAAACUACACCUAUGCUUGAUGGAAAUUAAACAGCUGGUGCUCAGGAUACUACAAUUACAAAGAGAGAGAAAGAGUCAACCC